rnacentral:misc_RNA from 1 species
AACGCACCUUGCGCUCCUUGGUAUUCCGAGGAGCAUGCCUGUUUGAGUGUCAUGGAACUAUCAACUCUAUUGAUUUAGAGCUUGGAUGUGGAGGACAAUUGCUGGAUGUCAAUUCAGCUCCUCUUGAAUAUAUUAGCUCGAGCCUUCUUGUGAAUCAGCUUUGGUGUGAUAAUUGUCUACACCGCUCUGUGAAGCAUUAGUUCGGCUUCUAAUUGUCCCAGCUUGGACAACAUAUUAUGACCUUUGACCUCAAAUCAGGUAGGGUUACCCGCUGAACUUAA